GACGUAGGGCGCGAGCGUUGUCCGGAUUGAUUGGGCGUAAAGAGCUCGUAGGCGGCUCGUUGCGUCGGCUGUGAAAACCCGCAGCUCAACUGUGGGCCUGCAGCUGAUACGGGCGGGCUGGAGUUCGGUAGGGGAGACUGGAAUUCCUGGUGUAGCGGUGAAAUGCGCAGAUAUCAGGAGGAACACCGAUGGCGAAGGCAGGUCUCUGGGCCACUACUGACGCUGAGAAGCGAAAGCGUGGGGAGCGAACAGG
rnacentral:rRNA from 1 species